rnacentral:tRNA from 2 species
UGGGGCAUAGCUCAGGUGGUUAGAGCGCUUCUCUGAUAAAGAAGAGGUCGUGGGUUCAACUCCCUCUGUCCCAAC